CACUCCUACGGGAGGCAGCAGUAGGGAAUCUUCCACAAUGGGUGCAAACCUGAUGGAGCAAUGCCGCGUGAGUGAAGAAGGUCUUCGUAUCGUAAAGCUCUGUUGUUAGAGAAGAACACGUGCUAGGUAACUACUAGCGCCUUGACGGUAUCUAACCAGAAAGUCACGGCUAACUACGUGCCAGCAGCCGCGGUAAUACGUAGGUGACAAGCGUUGUCCGGAUUUAUUGGGCGUAAAGGGAGCGCAGGCGGUCUGUUUAGUCUAAUGUGAAAGCCCACGGCUUAACCGUGGAACGGCAUUGGAAACUGACAGACUUGAAUGUAGAAGAGGAAAAUGGAAUUCCAAGUGUAGCGGUGGAAUGCGUAGAUAUUUGGAGGAACACCAGUGGCGAAGGCGAUUUUCUGGUCUAACAUUGACGCUGAGGCUCGAAAGCGUGGGGAGCGAACAGGAUUAGAAACCCCGGUAGUCCCA
rnacentral:rRNA from 1 species